AGUGAACGCUGGCGGUAGGCCUAACACAUGCAAGUCGAACGGCAGCACAGUAAGAGCUUGCUCUUACGGGUGGCGAGUGGCGGACGGGUGAGGAAUACAUCGGAAUCUACUUUUUCGUGGGGGAUAACGUAGGGAAACUUACGCUAAUACCGCAUACGACCUACGGGUGAAAGCAGGGGAUCUUCGGACCUUGCGCGAUUGAAUGAGCCGAUGUCGGAUUAGCUAGUUGGCGGGGUAAAGGCCCACCAAGGCGACGAUCCGUAGCUGGUCUGAGAGGAUGACCGCCCCACCUGAACUGAGACACGGUCCAGACUCCUACGGGAGGCAGCAGUGGGGAAUAUUGGACAAUGGGCGCAAGCCUGAUCCAGCCAUACCGCGUGGGUGAAGAAGGCCUUCGGGUUGUAAAGCCCUUUUGUUGGGAAAGAAAAGCAGCAGGUUAAUACCCCGCUGUUCUGACGGUACCCAAAGAAUAAGCACCGGCUAACUUCGUG
rnacentral:rRNA from 1 species